UACAGAGGUCUCAAGCGUUGUUCGGAAUUACUGGGCGUAAAGGGUGCGCAGGCCGCGCGGGCAGUCAAAUGUGUAAUUCAGGGGCUUAACCCCUGCACUGCGCUUGAUACUUCCGCGCUCGAGCUUUGGAGAGGAGACUGGAAUUCUCGGUGUAGCAGUGAAAUGCGUGGAUAUCGAGAAGAACACUUAGGGCGUAGGCAAGACUCUGGACAAAUGCUGACGCUCAUGCACGAAGGCUAGGGUAGCGAACGGG
rnacentral:rRNA from 1 species